CCUACGGGAGGCAGCAGUAGGGAAUAUUGCUCAAUGGGGGAAACCCUGAAGCAGCAACGCCGCGUGGAGGAUGAAGGUUUUCGGAUUGUAAACUCCUUUUGUUAGAGAAGAUAAUGACGGUAUCUAACGAAUAAGCACCGGCUAACUCCGUGCCAGCAGCCGCGGUAAUACGGAGGGUGCAAGCGUUACUCGGAAUCACUGGGCGUAAAGAGCGCGUAGGCGGGAGAGCAAGUCAGAUGUGAAAUCCUAGGGCUUAACCAUAGAACUGCAUUUGAAACUGUUAUUCUAGAGUAUGGGAGGGGUAGGUGGAAUUCUGGGUGUAGGGGUAAAAUCCGUAGAGAUCAAGAGGAAUACUCAUUGCGAAGGCGACCUGCUAGAACAUAACUGACGCUGAUGCGCGAAAGCGUGGGGAGCAAACAGGAUUAGAUACCCCUGUAGUC
rnacentral:rRNA from 1 species